GACGAACGCUGGCGGCGUGCCUAAUACAUGCAAGUCGAGCGAACCAAUGGGAGCUUGCUCCCUGAGGUUAGCGGCGGACGGGUGAGUAACACGUGGGUAACCUGCCUGUAAGAUUGGGAUAACUCCGGGAAACCGGAGCUAAUACCGGAUAAUAUUUUGAACCGCAUGGUUCAAAAUUGAAAGACGGCUUCGGCUGUCACUUACAGAUGGACCCGCGGCGCAUUAGCUAGUUGGUGAGGUAACGGCUCACCAAGGCGACGAUGCGUAGCCGACCUGAGAGGGUGAUCGGCCACACUGGGACUGAGACACGGCCCAGACUCCUACGGGAGGCAGCAAUAGGGAAUCUUCCGCAAUGGACGAAAGUCUGACGGAGCAACGCCGCGUGAACGAUGAAGGCCUUCGGGUCGUAAAGUUCUGUUGUUAGGGAAGAACAAGUACCAGAGUAACUGCUGGUACCUUGACGGUACCUAACCAGAAAGCCACGGCUAACUACGUG
rnacentral:rRNA from 1 species